rnacentral:rRNA from 1 species
CCUACGGGUGGCAGCAGUGAGGAAUAUUGGUCAAUGGUCGCAAGACUGAACCAGCCAAGCCGCGUGCAGGAUGACGGCUCUGUGAAUUGUAAACUGCUUUUGUCCGAGGAUAAAGGCAGGUACGUGUCUCCGUCUGAGAGUAUCUGACGAAUAAGCAUCGGCUAACUCCGUGCCAGCGGCCGCGGUAAUACGGAGGAUGCAAGCGUUAUCCGGAUUUAUUGGGUUUAAAGGGUGCGGAGGCGGUCUGGUAAGUUAGAGGUGAAAUCCCGAGGCUAAACUUCGGCAUGGCCGUUGAUACUGGCAGUCUAGAGAGUAGUUGAGGUAUGCGGAAUGUAUGGUGUAGCGGUGAAAUGCUUAGAGAUCACACAGAACACCGAUUGCGAAGGCAGCAUACCAGCCUAACUCUGACGUUGAGGCACGAAAGCGUGGGGAGCAAACAGGAUUAGAUACCCGAGUAGUC